GAACGAGAGCAGUCAGAGAAAUAAAAAAAUUAAUGACGUCAUUAGAGUGGGGGCCAGUAAGCGGCUCCCUUGCAUCAGCGGGGAAGUUGGAGUGUGCCCAAGAUCGGAAAGCAGGCAGCAGUGCUCCGUUGGCCGCGUCUUCCCCUAAUUAGAGAACAGACCGCAAGGGACAAAAUUGCAAAAGAAAUUCCAGCUUCUCUAAGAACCUCAGAACGAUGGCAGCAUGAGCACACAGUGGGCAGGUUCAACGCACGGGUCACUCUGGCAAGCAUUUCACGGGCGCUGAUCCUUCUCAUCGUCACACAGUCUGAAAGUUACAACUCUUGUCCCUGUUCAGCAGAUGAGCAGACUGAGGCCACUGAGGCUAAUCAGCUCACCCGAGACCUCACAGUCAGGAAACGGCAGAGCCAUUGCAAAGAAAACUGGUUCCGCACUCCCUGUUCCUAACCAACUCAACAGAUCUGAGUUUGGGAAUGGACUGGACGCCCUGCUUCAAGUCCAAAAACAGGGACAUUUCAGCAAACUUCAUAAGCCAGACCAUCGGACUCAUGCACCCAGAAUGGCCUCCCUGUUCAGCCAUGGCAGUGAGGUUCAGACAAGGCUGUCAUGGACCUCAGCAGGAGAGGGGCCUGGCAGCCGCGGGGCAAUUCGCUGCAGGUGUGUGGGACGGAGGAUGACACACACAGACCCACUGUGUCCCUUGCUAAGGCAGUAGCUAUUGUGCGCACCACCAAAACGUCCACCCCAGGCUCCUUGGUGGGAACCUGGAAGCUCUCCCCUCCUCCAUAUGGGAUUAAUUAUGGGGCCUGAGGAUGAUUUUACCUCUGAAACAUUCUGUGGCAGAGUCAGUACUGUUUGUUGGCCAGACCCGUUUCCUUUCUGCUCUGAGCUCAGCUCAACUGCACUUCUGAGACUCCUCCUCAGCAGCGGGGCCACAGGUCCGAGUUCUUUCUGAUAGCCGGGAUGCCAGGACGUCGGCCAGAGUCCCGUGUGGGCCACCGCAGCCUGGCCCCCCGGCCUCCUGCAGCAUCUCCCAUCCUCUCUGUUCCCUCUCCAGCAGGCACGCUGCAGAGGACAGCCAGGCCCAGGAGAAUGGAUGGAGGGGGGCUGGGUCCCUGGAUGACCACAUGGAGCGGACCUCCCUGCCACAGCCAGGCCCCGUCGCAGACUCACACUGGGCUGGGAUGUGAUCCUUCCAGAGCUACCGCUGUGCCCAUCACUGCCUUUCUACCUCUCUCCUUGCCCUCCCCGCCUCUGCCCCGCCUUCAGCCAUCCCAACUCCAGCUGCUAAGGCAGAGCGAGCCUCUUAAAGCCCAAGUCAGUCUAUCUGCUCCUUGGUGUACAGCUGACAAUGGUACCGCCAAAUGCAGCCUUGGAGGGACCCCAGUGUGGCACGUGGUCUUCCCAGGCCUGCUUUCGUCCACGGUCCAUGGGCCAGCUUUGUGCCAGCUCUCUGUUGCCACCCACAGGGCCUGGCCACGGGUGCACUGGGCAUUUAUGUCUUCAUGGCUGCUUCUCUCACCAGACUCCUUCUGGAAUGUCCUUCCAUCUCUCUGCUAUUUCCCUCUGUCAGCUUAACUGCUCCUCAUCUUGUGGGAUGAGUCUGGCCACACCGCCUCCGUGUCCCCCCGCCACCCCCUAGGGACCCGCACACCACAUACCACCACUGCACUAGGAGUGCUUGGCAUAGAGAGUGUUGGUUGUCUGUGUCAUUGACACAGAGCAGGGCCUCAACAACUACCCAACACCCCGGGAGAGGACAAUAAAAUUAUCUCCGGACAUUGUCCAAUGUCCCCCGGAAACAAAGUGGGGCCCACCCGAGAAGCCCUGCUCUGGGGUCAUGUCAGAGAAGGAACGUCUGCUAACUGUAACAAGAAUUCAGAGGGCACGUUAUCUUGAUGAGCUCACCCUAGUCAACGCUGACCUGAAACCAGAUUUUGUCCAAACUGGCUCUCAGAAGCCAAGUUGUGGGGACCCAAUUCAGAACAGGUUCAGGGUAGCAGACCUGGGGUCUACUGAGUACCCACCAGCUGCUUCUCCUUUGCCAACAGACCCCAGGCUUUUUCAGCAUGGCCAUAUGGCCAGCACAAGCAGUAUGUUGAGAUUGGUCUAGGCCAUUCUGGAUCAUUCUGGAUCUUAGUAUCCCAGCCUCUCCUGCAGGUAAGGGUAGCCUUAAAACCAGUUCAAGACAAGGAGAUACAGGGGAAGUCUGUUGUGAGGGUUUCUUAGAUACUUUUGCUUUUCUGUUAGGGUCAGAAGCAACAGACACCACCCUCCUCCAACCUCUCUCCCUUUCUGAUUGCAGGCAUGAGGGCUAGGGCAGGGGGAGAGUCACAGAUGAGCCAGCUUUGGCCUCCUGGAGCACACACCAAGGCCCUCUACCUCCCGCUUCCUUAUUACGAGAGGAAAAGAACUCCUGGCAUUUGUUUGUGUCCUUGUUUGGGUUGAACAGUGCCCCCAGCCGUUCAUGUCCACCUAGAACCUCAGAAUGUGGCCUUACCCAGCAGUAAGGUCUUUGCAGAUAUGACUGGACGGGGAUCUUGACAUAAAGUCAGCCUGGGUUUGGGGAGGGCCUCAAUCCCAUGACUGGGGGCCUCACAAGAAGGGAGGGGUGGAGACAGUCCAGGGGACAAGACCACAUGGGGGCAAGAGGCGAUGAGUGCAACAGCGCUGCCACAUGCCUAGGGACACGAGGAGCCCCCAGGAUCCCUCAGGAGCUGCAGGAGGGACCUUCCCCUGGGGGUUCUGGAGGGCAGCUGGGCCCGCUGACAACUUGAUCUCGGUCUUCUGGCCUCCAGAACCGUGAGAGAGGCAAUUCCUGUUGCUUCAGUCCGUGCAGUUUCUGGUCGUUGGUUCCGGGCCGCCUCAGGCAACAAGUGUGGCCCCUCCUGAAGUCUUCUGUGCCUUUAGGAGGACCGACUCAUGAGCACAUGGACGGGGAGCCAGCUCAGAUCGCAGCCUAGGGGGGUUUCUCUCCAGGUACCCUCCGCUGAGGAGAAGGGAAGCCAGGUGGAAGGUCACUGUGGGGAGAAAUGAAGACGUCUCUUCUACUUCUCCGCGGGACUUUUUUUUUUUUUUUUUUUAAUGUGGCUCCCAAUAUGUACCACUAAUUUAUUCCUUACUUUUCACCAUCGAGGCAUUUACAAGGUGGAAGAUUUAUACAAUCUGAAGAGAACCCUGAGUAUCACUGAGACCUUUAAAAUGGAGGAGGCGCAUAGGCCGCUUCAUUUGUCUUCCACUGUGAGGAAGCACAACUUCCCACACAAAGUGGCGUCACACAGAACUGAGGCUUCCCAUUCUCUGUGGUCACAGACUUCGAAUAUUCUCUACUUUAUACCUAUUUAAUAUCCACUGUUAAUUUGAAGCACUUUGAAAUAUCUAUUUUUUGCUUUCUCAAACCAAUAUUUUUAAAUAUGCUCUAACUUAAGUAAGAAUUUUUUUAAUGUCAUUUCAUUUAUAUUAAUACAAAUUGUGUAUGUUUAAGGUAGGUAUACAACAUGGGGAUUUGAUCCACCUAUACACAGCAGCACAAAUAUUGCAGUGCUAAUGAACUGAUCCGCCUCCUCACUUAGCUGACCCCCUCCUUUUUUUUUCCCCCAGGUGGGGUCUUUUGGGAUCUGCUUCCUUUCACAGAGCUCACCUUCUGGUGAAGGACCUUGUAUACUUACCAGGGUCAGGGAGUGCUUUCUUGGGCAAAAAGAGCCCAAGUGUAAUUUCUGGACCCCCUAGAUCUAGAUUCCCUACAGACCAUUUUCUCAAUUUUUCCAUGUCCCAUUAGGUCAUAGUCCAUGUGACAUACCAAAGUUAAUUUUUUAUGGGGUUUAAUUUGUAGGACUUGCUAUGCUAAGCCCCCAACACUGCUCAUCCCUAUGGGCCUUUGGUGGCGGGCCAGCCUCAGAAUCCCCACCUGGAAAGCAGAGACCCUGAGUCUGCUUCUUGAAUGCUGUGAGAGGGGCUGUCCUGGGAUCCUGCGGCAUUUGAAGGGUAGGGAGAUAUAAUUGGCAAAUCUAGACUGUGGGAUGAACCAUGUUCUUCAACAAUAGAUGCCCCCUCACAACCUGCCCCCCAAAAGAUGACAGAGAAACCACAGAUUAAAAGCAUGAGAAGAUCUAAAUCAUUAUAAGGACCUUUUGUUUUUGACAAAACCACCAGUAAAAAAUUUUAGAAGAUAAUCAAAGAUAAUAUGGAUCAGAUAUUUGAUGAUAUGAAGGAAGACAUUGUUACUACUACUUAGAUGUGGUCAUAUAGUAGUUACGUUUCAAAACAUAUGCUAUAACUCACUAAUGCAUACUGUGUCAUUUAUGGAUGAAAAGAUGUGUUACCAGGGAUUUGCUUUGAAAUAACUGGAGGAGAAAUCAGGUGAGGACAUUGGUGAGCAAGUCUGACCUUGAGCUGAUAGCUAUUGAAGGGGUUCGGUAUAUAUAGUCUCCCCAGUGUUAUGCAAGUUUGGUACUUUCCAUAAUUAAGGAUAGGAGGAAGAUAGUUUUGCAGAGAAACUCACUCCCAAGAUUUCCUUUAAUGAGUGGCACUGGCGCCUAAAACUUUCAAAGGGCUCAGGGUUCACCCUUGCAGGCGGGAACCCACCUCUCUGAAUGAAACCUUUCUUCAGGACGGGCACCACUCACCCUGCCCCAUCGUAUUAUUUGUCUUCUGGUGACCAGAGAUUACCCACAAGCUACGCAUUACUCACAGAGACUUACAGGCGACCCUCCAUGGCACUUUAGCAUUUUUCUGAUACUUGCUAUCCUGGGUGCUUUCUGUAGCAAAUUACAGUGUGACCUGCCCAGAACAUGAAGCAACCAGGGUGGGGCUGGACUGGGGGCUAUGGUGUAGUACGGCGGGCGCUAGGGGCCGCCACAUUCAUCCUGGUUCCCAUGGCACCAGUCCCAUCUCUCUUCUGGUCUCAAGGUGGCCAUGGUGGUGCCAGGCAUCCUACACAGAGAGAACUGUGUCCACUGGUGAUGUGGAGAGUGUCCUCUGGUAGACCUCUUCUUCCUCACCUGGAAGACUUUCCCAGGAGUGUUCUGGCGGCCCCCUCCUCUAGAAUGGGGGUGUGUACUAUGCUUAUGUUGGCACUGGCAUACAGAAAGAUGGCACCGGGGGCAACCUUUCUGCAUACCUGCCAUGCAGAUUCCUGGGCAGGACCAGGGCUCUGCCACCCUGAGAAGAAAGGGGCGGUGGGGACAAAGGACUUGUGUGGGCAGCCAGCAGCAUCUGCCUAGAGGUUGACAUCUCAAACUGGGAGGACUCAGGCUCACGUCUACCUGUCCAGGUUCUCGGGAGACUUGACGUUGCUGACCACCUGUGGAGGAGUGCCUUUCCACUCCCGUACACCAGGCAGGUGCUCUCCUGGAUCCUACGGUCCCCACCACUCCUCCUUCAGGUCCCACUGGAGUCCCCAUGAUUCUCCUCCCAGUGUCCCGCGCCCCUGACAAUGUGACUGCAGCUUCUUCUGUCAGGACAUGGAGGCUAUUUCUCCCCCUCUCGAAUCUUAUCAAGGCCCCGUCAUUUACUUGGAUUCACAGAAUGCUGAGGAUUAUGCUGAGGAAAUAAAGACAUGCCAGGUCUUACUUCAGGCAUGUCUCUUGCUUUCUUGAAACCCUGUUCAGCCACCCUGAGAAUAAGCUGGGGCUCCCCUGCUGGAAAAGGAGAGACACAUGGGCCCAUCAACCCUGGUGUUCCAGCUGCCAGCCAGCCAGCUGCCCGUCACGUGAGUGUGGCCACUCUAGACCAGCCAGCCUCAGCUCUCCUGUCAGCUGAGUGGAGCCUGAAGUGACUUGUAAGCCGAGAUCCGCUGUGUCUGACCCAGAUCAGCAGAACCACACAGUUGAUCUGUAGACUUGUGAGCAAUAAUAAACACUUCCUUUGAACCAC